rnacentral:misc_RNA from 1 species
AACCAUUCUCACCUGCGGCUAGACCUGCGGAGGGAUCAUUACCGAGUUUACAACUCCCAAACCCCUGUGAACAUACCUAUACGUUGCCUCGGCGGAUCAGCCCGCGCCCUGUAAAACGGGACGGCCCGCCCGAGGACCCUAAACUCUGUUUUUAGUGGAACUUCUGAGUAAAACAAACAAAUAAAUCAAAACUUUUAGCAACGGAUCU